rnacentral:lncRNA from 1 species
GCAGUGACGGCGGCCACAGCACGGGAGGCACCCGAGCCAUACACCCUGCAGCUGGAGAGAAAAGGAUGGCCGAGGUGGGAGAGACUAGAGUGAACCAGCAGGAGGAAGUCCCAGGGCCGCGAAGCUACGACGGAGAUCCGUCCUGGAAAAGCCUUCUCCACCCUGGGCACUUUAAGCGGCGGUGGCGGCAAACGGCAGGAGGUUGCAGACCCGACAGCGAGACUCCCUCAUUCCAGUCUUGCUCUGCCCUCCGGAGAUGACAAGUGAGAAAGAAGUGUCCGGCCGGGCCAUCCCCUUCAGUUACCAAGAAUAACUGUAAAAUGUGCUGGGAAUGCAAUGUCCUGAGAUAAGGAAGAACUGCCUGAAACAGCCUGGAUCUUAUUCCUGUACUUCCUAGGGAAUGUAACAUCUCAAGUUAAAGAGGAACUGCCCGGAACAGCCCGGGGAUUGUUCCUCUCUCCUGAGAAGGAAGAUUACCUCCAAAGCUCAUCCACUGAGUCACACUGCCCCUGUGGUGGAGGGCGGGCUGCCUUUCCAGGUUCCUCAGCUGUGGUGUAACUGAAGCAGGCACAAUCAAGACUCCAUCUGCUCGAGGCAGCUUUCUCGAACCUUGGGGAACCUACUCACAAUGGAUCACAGGCUUCUUUUGUUUUGUUUCUUGCUGCCUAUCUUGGGAAGCAAAAAUCAGCUGAGUGAAGAUGAGGAAGAAGGUGUUAAAGGUUUGAAGAAAAAAGGAAAAGGAUAUACUAAUCUAAGAGGACAAGCAAUACAUUCCUCCUUGCUCCAGAAUGCAACAUACAUGUAUCCUUUUCUGUACUAUUUUUUAUUAAGAAUUCAUACUUAAUUCCACUGACUGCCACUCAAUUUUAAUGUACAGUAGGGAAUUCCUGUACUAUGUAUUAUGAAUCCAUUCCUUUGAAUUUCAUUUAUAAUACUUCAUGACUGACACCUGGCUUUCCACCAAGACUCAAUUUUCAUAGCAAGCCUCAUCAUCAUAAGCCCCCAAAUUAACAGGAUGAGGAGGAAGAAUUGGCAGGCUAAAGAAGAUGAUUAUAUCAAUUAAUGCAGAAAAAGCAUUUGAUAAAAUCCAAUAUUCAUUUGUAAUUAAAAACUCUCAGCAAGUUAGGGAUAGGAAUUACUUCAACUUAAUGAAGAGUGUCUUUAAAAACCUUAUUUUCAUCAGUUAUAACAAAUGUACCACUCUGGUGGUGAAUGUUGCUAAGGAGGGAAGCUAUACAUGUGUGGGGAAAGGAGAUGUGUGAGCAAUUUCUGUACCUUCUACUCAA